AGCCUCGUGGUGAAGAGCACAUUGGAUUGCAAAUCCAAAGGCGUAGACGACAGUCUGCCGGGGCUU
rnacentral:tRNA from 2 species